CUUCUAUGUGCUGAACUCUGAACGGCCAGACCUCAAAGUGACACAGAGAGUGAGGAGGACCUCACCUGUCAAAACAGGAAAUGCAAAUGCAGCUAACCACUGCAAACUUUCAAAUAAGGGAGUUCAAAAGAGAAAAUGCAGCACUCAGACAAUCUCUAUCUGUUAUUGAAGAGUUGCCAGGUUUGCUCCAGGAGGUGAAAAACCUAGAGAGGGAGAGAAUGAGACAAACAACUUCAAAGGGUCUGUGUGUGUGUUUGGUUUAAGCAUGAUGACCAGAAUAUGAGGAGUAGAGGUUGAGAGUAGGAAAGAGGAUUAGAAGUUGGAAGGAGGUGGUUCAAUGAAUCUGUAUUCACUUUCUCUAACUGUCUGUCAUUGUGUGUUCCCAGACAUCAUGGCUAGUGGAUCCCCACCCAUCUCCAAAACUCACAAUGACAUCAUGGCUGGUAGAUCCACACCCUUCCUCCAACCCCCAAAAGCAGCACUCCAAGACACUGCCGUCACAACCCUACCAGUCAGCAUGGCAGGGGGACUUCAAACCUUGAGCUGUAAAGCAGGGAUGCAAACUAGUCACAAUUUGAAUACAAAAGCAGGUGUAUUAACAUUGUAACAAUACAGCAAGCAGAAA
rnacentral:lncRNA from 1 species